rnacentral:rRNA from 1 species
UACGUAGGGUGCGAGCGUUAAUCGGAAUUACUGGGCGUAAAGCGUGCGCAGGCGGUCUGUUAAGACCGAUGUGAAAUCCCCGGGCUUAACCUGGGAACUGCAUUGGUGACUGGCAGGCUUUGAGUGUGGCAGAGGGAGGUAGGAAUUCCACGUGUAGCAGUGAAAUGCGUAGAGAUGUGGAGGAAUACCGAUGGCGAAGGCAGCCUCCUGGGCCAACACUGACGCUCAUGCACGAAAGCGUGGGGAGCAAACAGG